rnacentral:rRNA from 1 species
CAGUCGAACGGAGAUAUCAUUUUCGAAGCGAUUAGUUUACUAAGAGCGGAGAUGUUGCUAUCUUAGUGGCGGACGGGUGAGUAACGCGUGGGUAACCUGCCUUGCACUGGGGGAUAACACUUAGAAAUAGGUGCUAAUACCGCAUAACAGUAGGAGACGCAUGUCUUUUACUUGAAAACUCCGGUGGUGUAAGAUGGACCCGCGUCUGAUUAGCUUGUUGGCGGGGUAACGGCCCACCAAGGCAACGAUCAGUAGCCGGCCUGAGAGGGUGAACGGCCACAUUGGGACUGAGACACGGCCCAAACUCCUACGGGAGGCAGCAGUGGGGAAUAUUGGACAAUGGGGGGAACCCUGAUCCAGCGACGCCGCGUGAGUGAAGAAGUAUUUCGGUAUGUAAAGCUCUAUCGGCAGGGAAGAAAUUGGACGGUACCUGACUAAGAAGCCCCGGCUAACUACGUGCCAGCAGCCGCGGUAAUACGUAGGGGGCAAGCGUUAUCCGGAUUCACUGGGUGUAAAGGGAGCGUAGACGGCCAUGCAAGCCUGGAGUGAAAGCCCGGGGCCCAACCCCGGGACUGCUCUGGGAACUGUGCGGCUGGAGUGCGGGAGGGGCAGGCGGAAUUCCUGGUGUAGCGGUGAAAUGCGUAGAUAUCAGGAGGAACACCGGCGGCGAAGGCGGCCUGCUGGACCGCGACUG